AAAAGGCUUGACUAAAAGUUUAAAGGAAUUUAAAGAACGAGAAAAAAAUAUAAUGAAGCAAGGGACCAAACUGUAACGGGCAAGUGAAACAGAGGGUCCGAAAGGGAAAAUAUCCCUAUGCUCUUAAAUGCCAUGUUUUAUGCGGGACUGAAUGGGAUACAAGCAGAGUUCUGAGCCAAAAUUAAAAGAAAAAGAAGGGACAAAAAAGGGCUAAUCGAAACAGAUCAAAAGAGUGGGAGGACCAAUUUCACAAACAACCCAUAAGGCACAAAACAGUGAUGUUUUAACAUACAUGUAAACUGAAUUUUUGCCCUAAUGCACUCAUUUGACCGAUUAUUUUAUCAAAAAACGAAAAAAGAAAAAAAACUCAAAACCUUCUCUCAAAACGCUCUUCUCUCUCAGUCCCCUGGGCUUCAUCGGCACCUAAUGCACCUCCACCUCCGUCGCGGUUUCAACUAGAUCCAUAAGGAUCCGUCAACCUUUGGACAGGGGAAGCAAACUUUCACUAGAUCGAUACCAACAGCAGAUAAGAAAACCCUCUUCUUCUUUCUUCUUAUUUUUGUAUCAAAAUGAAAGAAAAAUAAAUGAAUAAAUAAAAUAAAAAGCCCGAAGAGAAGCAAUGAAAAUCACCUUUUUGUUUUCUUUUUUUAUUUCGAUUUCUAUGGGGUUUUUGUAUUUUGAAGAUUGAGUUUAUUUCUUUUCAAAAAUCCCCCCUUUUUCAGUUUGUAUCAAAACGAUUUUUGAAAAAGGAAAUGAAAUGAAUGAAAAUAAAAAAAGUGAUGAACAUCUCUUGAAUUUUUUGAGUCUGUUUUUGGUUGUUUCUUUAUUCUGCUGUAUUUUUUUUUUUUUGCCUUUGAUUGCACAAAAUCUUUGUAAUACAAUGUUUUUUGUAUUUAAAAAAAAAAAACCCCUUACAUUCGGUUUCUUGGUGGCCUUAUAGCCAAAUGAGAUACCAUAUUUUCGCUACUCUUUUCGGUCUCUGUUUCUUGCUGUCGUUUCUGCCUUGUUUCUGCUCUCUUUGCCAUGUUUGUAGGUUGCGUGAGGAGCCAACGAAGAAGAAAUUUUCCUCUUUGGUGUAAGGUCACAGACGAACCUCGGGACGAGGGGCGGGCGAUGCGCACGAGGAUGAGCGGCGCACAUGGGAGCCUCUAUGGUUUCAUCUUACCGAAAAUGUUCAAUCAUUUUGGGCCAUUGGGCUUGUAUUAGGGUUAAUUUCUUUUGGGUCAUAGUGCAUUCGGGCUUGUAAAUGGACUUGAUAUUUAGACCUAUUAUUUUGGUUUACUUUUAUAAGCUCGGGCAAAUUUGAGUACUUACAUGUAUAUAAGUGCAUAUAUUUGUACAAUCGAUAAUGUUUAAUUUUUUUUGUUUUUUCUUUUAAUUAUUGAUAUUUAUUUUAAGAUUUAUAUUGAGAAUUUGUUACUGUAUCUUUUAUUAAUGUUUUCCGCAAAAUUUAAAUCCGUAUCUCCCUUUGGGUGUGAAAUGUACAGUGCAGUAACUAAUAUUAAGUAAUAAUAAGCUUGUUAUAAUAAGCUUUUGUUUUUUAUUUUGGAAACAAAUAAACAAAUAAGUAAAAUAAAACCAAUGAAUUUUCAACGGGGAAUUGUUAAAAUAAUAAUAAUAAAACUAAUUGACUUCCAAAGUCUUGUUUCUCCUCUAAAAUAAAUAAAGUCGGAUGAAGCAGCCAUUGACACAUGAAAAAUAAAAAUAAAUUAAUUUAGACUAACAACAAUGAUUCAACGAGGAAUUGUCCAAAAAGUAAAAAUAAUGAAGAAGCCAUUGAAUAACAAAAGUAAUAAUUAUCAUAUUAAAACCAAUAGACUUCCAAAUUCAUAUUUCUCCUGAAUAUAAAUAAAUAAUCACCACCAAAUCGUAUGAAGCAACGAUAAACAUCGGCACAAAAAUCAGAUUCUUAGGAACGAAAGAUGCUUCACAAGAAAUCAGCGGUGCAUUUGAUACUAGUCCUACUGCUAUCAUUUUCUCUACUCUGCCCUCCAUCUUCAACUACAAACACUCACUUAACCGUUAAGGAGAGGAAUGAAGUGAUACAUAGAAAUCUAGGGGGAGGAAAACCACCUUCAUGUCCUCCACAUGCUCUUGUCUGUCAUGCUAAAAGUAAUUUUGCUCCUCCUCGUGAUCAUGGUAAGUAAGUAGUGCCCUCAUCCUUCACGCUGUAACCCAAAUUACUGGUUAUUAUUCAUCAUAACUUGGGAUUUUGUAUUAUUAUGUUUUUCAUAUUUCCAAUUUUGCUUAAAAGGCUUUAUAUAUUUCAAAUAAAUUAAGGAGGUUAAAAUUUUAUAUGAUGUGUAUUUUAAUAUAUGCAUGUAUUUGUAUUAUGUUUGAAAUGUCUAAUUAUAAGCUCUAAAGACUUGGACAUUAA